rnacentral:tRNA from 1 species
GGGGCCGUGGUGCAGCUUGGUUAGCACACUGGCCUGUCAAGCCAGAGGUCGCGGGUUCGAGCCCCGUCGGCCCCGCCA